rnacentral:rRNA from 1 species
GACGAACGCUGGCGGCGUGCCUAAUACAUGCAAGUAGAACGCACAGUUUAUACCGUAGCUUGCUACACCAUAGACUGUGAGUUGCGAACGGGUGAGUAACGCGUAGGUAACCUGCCUGGUAGCGUGGGAUAACUAUUGGAAACGAUAGCUAAUACCUCAUAAUAUUAAUUAUUGCAUGAUAAUUGAUUGAAAGAUGCAACUGCAUCACUACCAGAUGGACCUGCGUUGUAUUAGCUAGUAGGUGAGGUAACGGCUCACCUAGGCGAGGAUACAUAGCCGACCGGAGAGGGUGAUCGGCCACACUGGGAGGGAGACACGCCACAGAGUCCCACGGGAGGCAGCAGUAGGGAAUCGUGAGCAAUGGAUGAGAGUCUGACCGAGCAACGCGGAGGGAGUAAAGAAGAUCUUCGGAUCGUAAGGCUCUGUCGUAAGGGAAGAACGCGUGUGAGAGUGGAAAGAUCACACUGUGACGGUAUCUUACAAGAAAGGGACGGCUAACUACGUG